rnacentral:rRNA from 1 species
UACGUAGGGUGCGAGCGUUAAUCGGAAUUACUGGGCGUAAAGGGCGCGUAGGCGGCCUGUUAAGUCGAACGUGAAAUCCCCCGGGCUCAACCCGGGAACUGCGUCCGAUACUGGCAGGCUUGAAUCCGGGAGAGGGAUGCGGAAUUCCAGGUGUAGCGGUGAAAUGCGCAGAUAUCGGGAGGAACACCAAGGCGAAGGCAGCUCGCUGGGACGUUACUGACGCUGAGACGCGAAAGCGUGGGGAGCAAAC